CCACGAUGGCGGUGGUGGUGAGCUGGAGCGCACCCGUUACGUGAGCUAUUAUUCGCAGUGAGGAUGAAUGCUUUUCAUCAGACAUGGCUCAGCUCACGCUCGUACGAGCAAGCAAUAUCGGAGCGGCGUGACAGAUUGCAGAUCAGUCCAUUCAGCCCAACAUAGCUGGAAUCACGAUCAACCACCAACACUAAUGCAGCAUGGUGUUUAACAACGUUUACUCACACACACAGAUGCUUGUCUAAACCAUUUCAAGCACAUUUGCUGCUGUUGUUUCCUUUCCCGCAUUUGCAACCGCAAACAACAAUGUUCGGGCGGGUAUGGAAAAAGGGGAAAACUGGGCAACAAAAGCCAGGCAAUAGGCAACUCUCUCGCCCGUCCAAGAAUACCGAAACACAGAGCCACACAAUCGACAACGAGCGCGGUUUGGAAUUCAUUGACAGGAGCGAGACAGCACGAUGGGAAAGAUAGACACUCUCUCACACACACACACACACAUGCUCGCACGUACAGUGAAAGAGACUACCGAUUUGGUGUGCCGACAGGGGGGGGGGGGGGGGAGAGGGGGAGAGGGUAGUGAUGGUGGGGUUUUGGGGUGGAAAAUCAGAAACACACGAGAAAUGCACAAAAUUAAGCGUUACGUUCAACGAGUUCGUCCAACCAACCAAAAAAAAAAAAAAAA